rnacentral:piRNA from 1 species
UACAUCUUGAAGUUGUUGCCGACCUUAC